rnacentral:rRNA from 1 species
AUUGAACGCUGGCGGCAGGCCUAACACAUGCAAGUCGAACGAGUGGCGGACGGGUGAGUAAUGUCUGGGAAACGGCCUGAUGGAGGGGGAUAACUACUGGAAACGGUAGCUAAUAACGCAUACCAUCGGAUGUGCCCAGAUGGGAUUAGCUAGUAGGUGGGGUAAAGGAUCACCUAGGCGACGAUCCCGAGCUGGUACGAGAGGAUGACCAGCCACACUGGAACUGAUACACGGUCCAGACUACUACGGGAGUCAGCAGUGGGGAAUAUUGCACAAUGGGCGCAAGCCUGAUGAAGCCAUGCCGCGUGUAUGAAGAAGGCCUUUGGGUUGUAAAGUACUUUCAGCGGGGAUGCGUUACCCGCAGAAGAAGCACCGGCUAACUCCGUGCCAGCAGCCGCGGUAAUUC